GAUGAACGCUAGCGGCAGGCUUAAUACAUGCAAGUCGUGGGGCAGCGCAGUGUAGCAAUACAUGGGCGGCGACCGGCAAACGGGUGCGUAACACGUACGCAACCUUCCCGUUACUGGGGAAUAGCCCAGGGAAACUUGGAUUAAUACCCCAUAUUAUAUUGAUUGGGCAUCUAAUUAAUAUCAAAGCUUCGGCGGUAACGGAUGGGCGUGCGGUUGAUUAGGUAGUUGGCGGGGUAACGGCCCACCAAGCCUACGAUCAAUAGCUGAUGUGAGAGCCUGAUCAGCCACACGGGCACUGAGACACGGGCCCGACUCCUACGGGAGGCAGCAGUAAGGAAUAUUGGGCAAUGGACGAAAGUCUGACCCAGCCAUGCCGCGUGGAGGAUGAAGGUCCUCUGGAUUGUAAACUUCUUUUUUCUGGGGCGAAAACCGGUUUUUCUAAACCAUUUGACAGUACCAGAAGAAUAAGCACCGGCUAACUCCGUGCCAGCAGCCGCGGUAACAC
rnacentral:rRNA from 1 species